GACGAACGCUGGCGGCGUGCUUAACACAUGCAAGUCGAACGGUAAGGCCCUUCGGGGUACACGAGUGGCGAACGGGUGAGUAACACGUGGGUGAUCUGCCCUGCACUUCGGGAUAAGCCUGGGAAACUGGGUCUAAUACCGGAUAGGACCACUGCCUGCAUGGGUGGUGGUGGAAAGCUUUUGCGGUGUGGGAUGGGCCCGCGGCCUAUCAGCUUGUUGGUGGGGUGAUGGCCUACCAAGGCGACGACGGGGAGCCGGCCUGAGAGGGUGACCGGCCACACGGGGACUGAGAUACGGCCCAGACUCCUACGGGAGGCAGCGGUGGGGAAUAUUGCACAAUGGGCGCAAGCCUGAUGCAGCGACGCCGCGUGAGGGAUGACGGCCUUCGGGUUGUAAACCUCUUUCAGCACCGACGAAGCGCAAGUGACGGUAGGUGCAGAAGAAGGACCGGCCAACUACGUGCCAGCCGCCGCGGUAA
rnacentral:rRNA from 1 species